AUUCAUUAUGCAAUUACUAAUCAUGUAUGUUCUGGUUCACAACUCUUUUGAGUACUUUAAACUAUAGGACGCUAUAGGUUAGAGUUGUAGUAUAGGUGUAAGCGUGGUGCUUAGACCUAGAUUACUUGUGGAUAUCCCCUAUCUAGCUGGAUCAUGUGGUAGGCCGCGUAGGUGACAGUUACGUUGGUCCCCUGUAGUCCACCUCUUGUUAGUAGGACGGGUAGGGUUUAUCGGCCUAUGGAUAAGCAUCCUUUGUGGUGUAUUCUUAUCACGUGGUUUGUCCCAGACAUAGACAUACCCCUUUGAAGUAGAGAAACCAUAGUUAUCCUCUCUAUUCUACUACCAUCGCCCAUAUACUAGAUUGCUCUACUCUCUAUUCCCAUAUUAUCACCCAUUGUUAUCUUACCUUUAAUAUUGUUCUUAUUCAAUUCUACCAUCUUUCCUAUUUAUACUUAUCUAUCUAUCUAUCUUGGUUAAGUUAGAGCGUAGUUGGUUCUCCCGUUUCCCUGUGGAUACGAUAAAACCUUUGACCGGUAAAAGCUAUAACGGUAUCCAUGCGAUUGUGGAUUUAUCUGUCUGCGUAUAAAUACCAUAGUACACUCUAGUGCCAUGCUGGG
rnacentral:lncRNA from 1 species